CAUUAUCAAAAUAUACCGAUGAAAAAACGAACUUGGCCCACUUCAUGAUUUACGCCAAAAUCUUUAUUUUUUGUACAAUGGCCGCCAUGAUGUUAAAGGUUCUUCUUUUUUAAGGUUUAACCCAGUGAUCAUCAUUAGUUUUGAGUAAUUUGAUGAAAUUUAGACUUAAUCAUUAUUUUUGAUAAAAAAAAAAAUUAACUCAAAUAUAAUGAUCAUACAUAUAUUAUAAUAAUUUCGCUCAAACUAAAACUUAACGGGAAUUUACGGCUUCUAUGUUAGAAUUUUCGCAAAUAUUCUUGCAUAGCCUUGUGUAGGGAGCACAAACGCUACCCUUUGUGCUAAAAUGUUACUUAAAUAAAGGAUUUAUGGUUUAAACCCUGAUUUUGCUUGCUUACACUUUUUUCGGAUACUAUUCCAUAAGAUGCCUACGAAUGUAGGCUAAGAUCUUCCACUUGUAUUUCCUCCACUUUAUCGAGUACAGAAAAACUAAUGGAUCCUUUCGAGGAGCUACAGAGUUGUGACUGGUGCAUGGUAGAAUGCCGAUGAAACUGCGGCGCUCGGUGCAAUCGUUGUAGUUGAACUGUUCAGCACGUUCUUCGACCAGACUGAAGACGCACGAUUCGCCGGGUGAUACGGGCCAGAGUAGCAAGAUACGGCGGGUGCACACAUGGCGGAAGAAAUCGACGAUCCUGAAUAAUUGUACGAUAUGGUGGAAAUGGAAAUAGAACGUAAUGGUGAGGAAGAGAAGGAUUCGCACAUUGGUUUUGUGGCUGCAAGCCCUGCCCCAGCGAGUUCAGCUGAGCAGCCAGUAGCUAUUUCCGAUAGUAGCGUCCAGCCAACUCCUCGCAGAAGAUCAGAAUGCACCAUGCUCGGGAGAUGCAGAAUUAAAGAAUGUUCAGAUUGUUGAAAUAUUAAAAAGAUUUUGCAAAGAACAGCCAUUGCGCUGCCAAUUCUGCAGUUUAUUUCCCAGUACACGAAGCAAUUUAGUGUACCAAUUUGUCAACGUCAUUACCCUGAAGUAUUUGAAAUGGUCCGAAAAGAUCCACAAAUAUUGUAAUCAAUCAAAGCAGCCUUCCGAAAGAAAACGAGGGAGAACGUAAUGAGUUGAU